rnacentral:rRNA from 1 species
GACGAACGCUGGCGGCGUGCUUAACACAUGCAAGUCGAACGGAAAGGCCCUGCUUCUGUGGGGUGCUCGAGUGGCGAACGGGUGAGUAACACGUGAGUAACCUGCCCUUGACUUUGGGAUAACUUCAGGAAACUGGGGCUAAUACCGGAUAGGAGCUCCUGCUGCAUGGUGGGGGUUGGAAAGUUUCGGCGGUUGGGGAUGGACUCGCGGCUUAUCAGCUUGUUGGUGGGGCAGUGGCUUACCAAGGCUUUGACGGGUAGCCGGCCUGAGAGGGUGACCGGCCACAUUGGGACUGAGAUACGGCCCAGACUCCUACGGGAGGCAGCAGUGGGGAAUAUUGCACAAUGGGCGGAAGCCUGAUGCAGCAACGCCGCGUGCGGGAUGACGGCCUUCGGGUUGUAAACCGCUUUCGCCUGUGACGAAGCGUGAGUGACGGUAAUGGGUAAAGAAGCACCGGCUAACUACGUG